rnacentral:piRNA from 1 species
CAGGAGAUUAUUUGCUACUACACUGGAAUU